ACAAGCGGUGGAGCAUGUGGUUAAUUCGAAGCAACGCGAAGAACCUUACCAGGUCUUGACAUCCCUGACAACCAAGAGAUUGGGCGUUCCCCCGUUCGGGGGGACAGGGUGACAGGUGGUGCAUGGUUGUCGUCAGCUCGUGUCGUGAGAUGUUGGGUUAAGUCCCGCAACGAGCGCAACCCUCGCCUCUAGUUGCCAGCAUUCGGUUGGGCACUCUAGAGGGACUGCCGGCGACAAGUCGGAGGAAGGUGGGAUGACGUCAAAUCAUCAUGCCCCUUAUGACCUGGGCUACACACGUGCUACAAUGGGCGGUACAAAGGGCUGCGAACCCGCGAGGGGGAGCGAAUCCCAAAAAGCCGCUCUCAGUUCGGAUUGCAGGCUGCAACUCGCCUGCAUGAAGCCGGAAUCGCUAGUAAUCGCGGAUCAGCAUGCCGCGGUGAAUACGUUCCCGGGCCUU
rnacentral:rRNA from 1 species